GCCUUGAGAAGUAAGGUAGAGAAAGAGAAGAAAGCUGACUUCAAGUCUCGACACAAAGUUUUUGAUUGCCUAACUGUGUAUGGUUUUGAGAAACAAUUUCAGGAUGCGUACACCAAUGCAAAAUUCAAAGAAGUUCAAGCAGAGAUGAAGAGACUAGUUUAUUGUCAGCCGUUUCUUGCCGAAAAAGAGGAUUCAAUUUGUACAUAUUUUGUGAAGGAAGCCAUGGCAGUUUUUGGAAAAAUGAAACAUGUGGACUUUGUUGUCUAUUAUAAUUCGACAUAAUUUGAUGUGCAAUGUAUGUGCCGGUUGUUUGAAUUUAGGGGCAUCAUGUGUGCUCACUCACUCAUUGUGCUCAUUGCAAGAUGCAUAAAUGAGGUUCCAAAUAAAUACAUUCUACCACGAUGGAGAAAAGAUUUGGAUAAAGGAUACACAUGCAUAAAAACCACAUACACUGGCUUUGGGGAUGAUUUCAAUGCAAAGGUGUAUGAUAAGAUGAACAGAAAAUUGAUUGGCAUUGUACAAUUUGCUAGAAAAACUGAAGGGAAAAUAAAACUUAUUGACCAUGGGUUGGAUGAAAUCAAGGCAAAAGUGAUGAAAGAUGAUGAAGGUGGUGGGAGUAAUGUAGCACCUUCGACUAGUAAUGUACGACCUAUUACUAGUAAUGUCCCAUAUUCCCCGAUUGGCAGCAUUAAUAGAAAGGUAAUCAGUCAUACCAAGUUGCUUAGUCCUUUGGUUGCUCGCCAAAAAGGUCGUCCAGUUACUAAAAGAAAGGUCGCCAAAGUAGAUCAAAUAGUCAAUCAGUUGAAGGCAAGCAAAAGAAAACACAACAAAUCAAAGGGUACUAAGGUGCUUAGAGGUGAAGGUGAAGGUUAAUGUCAAUCUCAACCUGAACGUAUUUCACGUAGAGAGCUUUAUCCUUAUAUGGUUGGCAUGGAAAAUAGUAUGUGUGUGCCGGGGCACAUGGUCAAUGCUAUUGGAGGCACAUCUCUCACCCCGGCAAGUAUGGACAUUAUGAGAAGACAAAGUUUCAUGAAUGCCCCA